rnacentral:lncRNA from 1 species
AACUAACUACAAGCUCAGCCCAGAGGUGCAACCUGGGGCCGCCCGGAGCUAAAGGGGAGCAGCGGUGGAGGGAGGCGCCCGGUAGGCUGCAGACGCAUCCUGUCGAAGCUCCAACCCUGCUCCAAGCCCUUGUUUCCAGGCUUGGAGACUCGGAAUAGCCUGGCUGGAGGCUGAUCGCUUUCAAUUCAUUUGCACCCUUUCAGGUUGCCUGUGUUCAGAAGCAGUGGCCCUAGCAUUUAAAACCAGAUCCCCCCCCCUUCACUUGACUUUCCCCCUCCCUCAGGACCCCAACUCUACUCCCAAGGGAGCACUUUUGCACUGUGGGUUUUUCCAGAAGUACUUUAUUAAUGCCAUUGAUGGAAGAAAAACCUCUAUAUCUGGGCUCCAACUCAUGGCAAGGGUCGGGGAUAGUAAAGAAAGAAAAAUCAGACCCUGCUCUGUUGAGAUUCCUGUUGUUUUCGGCCCUAGUUCCUAUAUAUUGACCCCCCCCCCCUCAACAGAGGAGGAAUACCAACUACCCCCAGAACGCAGCAGCCUGCUCUGAAAGCGAGAGUCGUUGGAGGGCUGACAGGAAUGCAUUUUCUUCCUAUUGAAAACAGAAGCUACUGUAAUGCUUUCAAAUAUAUGCAAAUGAUACAUGCGGUUAGUGGUUUGGCAAAUCUUGAUUACAAUAUAAACUACCCAAGUAAAAGUGCCUUCGUCCUAAAUUUGUCUCUCGAUUACAAUUCCAAUUGAUUUUAUUUUAUUGUCAACAUUGUUAAUGAUAAAAAUAGAGUCGUUUUACAGUUAUUUUUACUUUCUGGAAGGAGGCAAUUAGAGUUCUAAUCAGGAAUACACAAAAAUCUCCCAUGAUUAACUGCAGUACUUUGUUCAAAUUGCUGCUAUAAAAUUCAGAACAAUUUGCCUGUAAUGAUUAUGGACUGGGUUUAUUUUGGGAGGUGGAAUAAAAGUGGAUAUAGCAUAAAUUAUCCUCUAAUUAUACACCAGUGUCGCUUCAAUUAUCCUCUUAUCAAAAUGGUUGUCUAACUGCCGCAUUUAGUUUCAAUUCUCUCCUUUUUUUCUAUAAAAAGAACUUCAUACCUUGUUAUUAUUAAUCCAUUUAUUAUUUGCAAGGGGGUUUAUAUCCGCACAUCCAGGUGGUAGAACCACUUCUGUUUCAAAGAUGGACUGGGGAAAGACAUUAAGUUUGGAGCAGCUCAGUGCUACGGAUCUAGCCUCUCUCCCUCGGGUCUCCAGACUCACUUGGUCCAAGCUGCGGAGCAGGGACAGCGGAGCUCAGGCGGCCACGUUCAGGCCCAGCCACCAGAACCAGAGAGAAACCUACGCCCAGAAGAACAUGUCCCUGGAUUGCUUUCCCACUGCUGUGGAGUGUCUUGAACACUGGUCCCUGGACACCAACUUCAAGAAGACUUCAUGGAUGGCUGUCCAGUCUUAUGAGCCACAGUUUCCCCUCUACAUUUUCUUCACUCCAGCGAGGCUCUUAUCAGGGUCAGAUCAGAGAUGAACCAGCUGGACGACAGAUUGGAGCGCUGACCUCUUAGAGUGCUAACAGUGAACAGUGUGGGGUCAGAUCUAUAGAAAGAUAAUAAUAAGAAAACACCCUAUAUGCAAGGGAGAGGGAUGGUUCAUAAUUUCUUAAAGAUUGAAAUCAAGGAACAAUCAAAAUAUAGAAGAAUGUGGACGUGUUUUGCUGCAGGACUUCUGUUUUGUCCCCAUUGGAAUAUGUAUUAUGGUAUUCCUGUUGGAUCAGGACUCAGGGGCAAGGCUAAGCAUUCCAGUGGUCCUCCUACUUAGCUCUUGUCCUUUCGUAAGAAACACCAACUCAUUAGUCUCUAUAUUACUUCUCUGUACUGUAGAUCUGCAUUCUUGAUCUGAGAGAUAUUGGCAAUGACACUCUUGUAUGAUAAAGCUCAAUGAUAAGAGUACUUCAAACCCCCUUGAACUUUUUGUUUAUACAUCAAGUGGUGACAUUGUGUAUUGAGCUAAUUAGAUCAAUGGAGUCACAGGGUGAUACUGAACUCUUUUAAAAUAUUUGGCUGAAACAUGACAUUGUAGUUAUUUGUAGAAGAGAACAUUAUGGAAUAUGAAAAACAUCACAGAACACAGAACUAGCAGCAGAAACUAGCAGCAGGUAGACAUUUUUCCUUUUCCAUAGAGCUUUCAACCAAAUGUCUCUGUAGAAAAUAGUGGCUAUCGUGUAUAUAUAUAGCCACAUAGAUGUCCUUGAGUGUACCCUGUAGUCAGUGGGAGAGUUCCUACUGCCACAGUCAUGGCCAUGGCUAUGUUCUCUAAGCCUACAUUUUAUAAACACUCUGUGAAUCUUGACUACUUUUCUUUAGCAAGCAUUGCAAAGUCCUGGGAUGUCAGAGAAGUGCCUGGGGUUGGCAGGGUUUCUAGAGAGGAAAUUGUUAAAUGAUUUGAACCAGAAAACAAACAGGGGAUGGGGUUCAGAACCAACAAUUACCUCUAUUCUAUGUAGGAAACCACAACAUGAAAUAUGCUGGGCAUGGAAACUUUGAUACCUUGGUUUUUCAUUCUUUUUAAAAAUUAAUACUAAAGAGCUAUGCGACUGUAGGCAAGCCAUUUCCCAUCCCCUGUGAAUAUCUCCCAGAUGACUUUAAAUCCCUUCUAGUUCUGAAAGGCUUUUAACAUCAGGGCCCAGGCUCCAGUGGCCAGUUUCAAAAUACCCUCCCUUUUGAUGUUAGGUUACAUAAACAUUGUUCUUUUUUAGGGAGGGUCUCUUUUAUCAACUUUUAAAAACACACAUCAGGUUCUCUGGUAUUAAAAAGAUGCCAUCUCUGAGUCCCCUACUAUCUGUGCUGCCUGCCUUUCCUCCUGUUCUUUCCUUAUUCCCAUCCCUAUUGAACUUGUGCUAUGCAGUAUGCAUCAGGUAUGUGUUAGCUUUGGGGAUACAUGAUAGAUAAACUGGACACACAGGGUCUUCCCAUUCUCUUCUGGAAUUUUCUUUGGAGGGAGCCUCUUGUAUCUAGACAGACCGUGCUGUGGUACCCCAGAGGUAACCACCUACAGGCUUCACUCUGCCUAAGCAAUUUUGCUGUGCACUAAGAUACACAUUCAAGUAACUUUAGAUUACCACAAUAACUUUCUCCAGGUAUGAGGAAAAGAGAUAAUUUACUUCUGAGAUGUGUAUAGGAUAGCCCUCCAUCCUGGGAAGAACAGUGACUACUCCCUGCAUCCCGACCUUGCCCAGGGAAAGCUAAUGUUUCUCUGUGUUAUCCCUGUGACUUGCCACUUCUUUAAAAAGGAAUGGGCAAACAAUAAACAGACAAAAAUGUUGUCUGACCUCAUUGGAAAUCCUUUUAAGAAUUAAUCCUUUCUAUCUCCUUCAUUAUCAACAAAUCUAUUGAAUACUUAUCUCUGAGUCCAGGGCAUAUUUUAUAAUACAUAAAACAAUGGAAUUUCAAAAUUGGAGCACUGACAUACAAUAUUGGUUUUGAGUAUUUUUAUUAUAGGGAAUGACUUUAGACAUUGCAAUUUAUGACUUAACUGAUAAAAUGGAUGACUCUUGACUUUCAAUUUUCAUUUUCAGUUCAGUCGAGGAAUAGCUUCCUCCAGGUGGUCUAUACCUAUCGCCAGUUUACAGAAAAAGGAAGCCAGGUGGAUGGAAAACGUGUGCCAAGUUUCUGUGCUUACAAUCCACUAAACUCAUUCUCAUAUGAGGACUUUAUAUACCUGUGAUGGAGUGGGAAAAUCAAUAACCUGGAAAAAAUGAGUACCAUUUUCCAAAGAAGUUCAAUAAAGAGAUGGAAUUUGGGAAACUGCUGCAGUUCUUCCUAUAAGCA